rnacentral:tRNA from 1 species
ACCUGGAUGGCUCAGUGGUUGAGCAUCUGACUUGGGCUCAGGACGUGAUCCUGGUU